rnacentral:rRNA from 1 species
UAAUACAUGCAAGUCGAGCGAUGAGGCUCCUUCGGGAGUACAUCAGCGGCGAACGGGUGAGUAACACGUGGGUGACUUGCCCCGAAGAUGGGGAUAACUCUGGAAACGGGGGCUAAUACCCAAUGUGCUCGGUGAUUCGGUUCAUCGAGUAAAGCUCCGGCGCUUCGGGAGAGGCCUGCGGCCCAUCAGCUAGUUGGUAGGGUAACGGCCUACCAAGGCAGAGACGGGUAGGGGGCGUGAGAGCGCGGACCCCCACACUGGCACUGAGAUACGGGCCAGACUCCUACGGGAGGCAGCAGUAAGGGAUAUUGCGCAAUGGACGAAAGUCAGACGCAGCGACGCCGCGUGGGCGAUGAAGGCCUUCGGGUUGUAAAGCCCUUUUAUGGGGGAAGAGAAAAAGGACGGUACCCCAGGAAUAAGUCCCGGCUAACUACGUGCCAGCAGCCGCGGUAAAACGUAGGGGACAAGCGUUAUCCGGAUUCACUGGGCGUAAAGAGCGUUGAGGCGGUUCCGUAAGUUGGGCGUGAAAGCUCCGGGCUUAACUCGGAGAUGUCGUUCAAUACUGCGGGGCUUGAGGACAGCAGAGGAAGGUGGAAUUCCCGGUGUAGUGGUGAAAUGCGUAGAUAUCGGGAGGAACACCCGUGGCGAAGGCGGCCUUCUGGGCUGUUCCUGACGCUGAAGGCGAAAGCUAGGGGAGCGAACGGGAUUAGAUACCCCGGUAGUCCUAGCUGUAAACGAUGGAUGCUGGGUGUGGGGGGUGUAAAUUCCCUCUGUGCCGAAGCAAACGCGUUAAGCAUCCCGCCUGGGGACUACGGCCGCAAGGCUAAAACUCAAACGAAUUGACGGGGGCCCGCACAAGCAGCGGAGCGUGUGGUUUAAUUCGAUGCUACACGAAGAACCUUACCUGGGUUUGACAUGCACGUGGUAGGGAACCGAAAGGGGACCGACCUUCGGGAGCGUGCACAGGUGCUGCAUGGCUGUCGUCAGCUCGUGCCGUGAGUNGUCGGGUUAAGUCCCGUAACGAGCGCAACCCUUGCCCUUAGUUACAAGUGUCUAAGGGGGACUGCCCGGGACAACUGGGAGGAAGGUGGGGAUGACGUCAAGUCAGCAUGG